rnacentral:rRNA from 2 species
GGGUUGUGAGGUUAAGCGACUAAGCGUACACGGUGGAUGCCCUGGCAGUCAGAGGCGAUGAAGGACGUGCUAAUCUGCGAUAAGCGCCGGUAAGGUGAUAUGAACCGUUAUAACCGGCGAUUUCCGAAUGGGGAAACCCAGUGUGACUCGUCACACUAUCAUUAACUGAAUCCAUAGGUUAAUGAGGCGAACCGGGGGAACUGAAACAUCUAAGUACCCCGAGGAAAAGAAAUCAACCGAGAUUCCCCCAGUAGCGGCGAGCGAACGGGGAGGAGCCCAGAGUCUGAAUCAGCAUGUGUGUUAGUGGAAGCGUCUGGAAAGGCGCGCGAUACAGGGUGACAGCCCCGUACACAAAAGCGCAUGUGCUGUGAGCUCGAUGAGUAGGGCGGGACACGUGGUAUCCUGUCUGAAUAUGGGGGGACCAUCCUCCAAGGCUAAAUACUCCUGACUGACCGAUAGUGAACCAGUACCGUGAGGGAAAGGCGAAAAGAACCCCGGCGAGGGGAGUGAAAAAGAACCUGAAACCGUGUACGUACAAGCAGUGGGAGCCCCACCACUAAGCCAGUGGUGAACUCCACAUACGCAUCCUUUGCUGAGGAUACGGUUAACGGAGCGAAAGCGACGUUCAACCUCAAAAGAAGCAGAGGGGGCUUAGUGGUGGGGUGACUGCGUACCUUUUGUAUAAUGGGUCAGCGACUUAUAUUCUGUAGCAAGGUUAACCGUAUAGGGGAGCCG